rnacentral:rRNA from 1 species
CUCGUAGGCGGCCAACUAAGUCAGACGUGAAAUCCCUCGGCUUAACCGGGGAACUGCAUCUGAUACUGGAUGGCUUGAGAUCGGGAGAGGGAUGCGGAAUUCCAGGUGUAGCGGUGAAAUGCGUAGAUAUCUGGAGGAACACCGGUGGCGAAGGCGGCAUCCUGGACCGACACUGACGCUGAGGAGCGAAAGCCAGGGGAGCAAACG